rnacentral:RNase_P_RNA from 1 species
UGAGUAAGCUAGAUGAUCGCAUCUAAAUUCUUAGAUGAGGAAAGUCCGAGCUCCAUAGGGCAGGAUGCUGGAUAACACCCAGUGGAGGCAACUCCAAGGAAAGUGCAACAGAAAGAUACCGCUUGGCACUCAAUAGCAAGUAUUUAGACUUUUUACGCCACUUUUAAGACUAAGCUUGGUCUUAGGGCCUAAGUAGUUCUGAUACAAAUUGAGUACCGAGUAAGGGUGGAAAGGUGAGGUAAGAGCUCACCAGCAUCUAGGCGACUAGAUUGGCUAUGUAAACCCCAUCUGGAGCAAGACCGAAUAGGGGACAAGAAGUGGCGGCCCGUCACGUCCCGGGUAAAGGUCGCUUGAGUUUACCGGCAACGGUAGACCUAGAUAGAUGAUCAUCCACGACAGAACUCGGCUUAUGGCUUGCUCAUAAU